ACGUGUGGUUCUAUUUUGUUGGUUAUAGGACCGCCGUAAUGAUUAAUAGGGACAGUCGGGGGCAUCAGUAUUCAAUUGUCAGAGGUGAAAUUCUUGGAUUUAUUGAAGACUAACUACUGCGAAAGCAUUUGCCAAGGAUGUUUUCAUUAAUCAGGAACGAAAGUUAGGGGAUCGAAGACGAUCAGAUACCGUCGUAGUCUUAACCAUAAACUAUGCCGACUAGGGAUCGGGCGAUGUUACUUUUUGACUCGCUCGGCACCUUACGAGAAAUCAAAGUUUGUGGGUUCCUGGGGGAGUAUGGUGGCAACGCUGAAACUUAAAGAAAUUGACGGAAGGGCACCACCAGGGGUGGAGCCUGCGGCUUAAUUUGACUCAACACGGGGAAACUCACCAGGUCCAGACACAAUGAGGAUUGACAGAUUGAGAGCUCUUUCUUGAUUUUGUGGGUGGUGGUGCAUGGCCGUUCUUAGUUGGUGGAGUGAUUUGUCUGCUUAAUUGCGAUAACGAACGAGACCUUAACCUGCUAAAUAGCCCGUGUUGCUUCUGCAGCACGCCGGCUUCUUAGAGGGAUUAUCGGCUCAAGCCGAUGGAAGUUUGAGGCAAUAACAGGUCUGUGAUGCCCUUAGAUGUUCUGGGCCGCACGCGCACUACACUGAUGAAGUCAGCGAGUUCACUCCUUGGCCGGAAGGCCUGGGUAAUCUUGUGAAACUUCAUCGUGC
rnacentral:rRNA from 1 species